CCGGGUGUGGCAGGUGGUCGUGCUGGUGGUGCUGCUCCAGGCGGCGUCGGCGGUGUUCACGCCGGUGUUCCAGGCGGCGAUCCCGGAC
rnacentral:tRNA from 1 species